GUGGAUUAGAUACCCUGGUAGUCCACGCCCUAAACGAUGUCUACUAGUUGUCGGGUCUUAAUUGACUUGGUAACGCAGCUAACGCGUGAAGUAGACCGCCUGGGGAGUACGGUCGCAAGAUUAAAACUCAAAGGAAUUGACGGGGACCCGCACAAGCGGUGGAUGAUGUGGAUUAAUUCGAUGCAACGCGAAAAACCUUACCUACCCUUGACAUGGAUGGAAUCCCGAAGAGAUUUGGGAGUGCUCGAAAGAGAACCAUCACACAGGUGCUGCACGGCCGUCGCCAGCU
rnacentral:rRNA from 1 species